rfam:Lupinus angustifolius cultivar Tanjil chromosome LG09, whole genome shotgun sequence.
UUGUCUCUUGGAGUUCCUCUGAAUGCUUCAUAUAAGGGGCUAGCUAAUCUAAUUCCAUUAGAAAGGAAAGUCCUUCUUGAAUGAAGUGUUUGGGGGAACUUCUAGAUUCAA